UUUUUACCUCUGCAGAGACACAUAAAUAAAGAACAGACAAAAGACAGACUCAGAGAGAGAGAGUUGCAGGAGUUGAGCAAUCGUGUACCCUUGUAUUCAUGUUCCCGUCUCUCCACAAGGGUUUUUGACAUCUUAUCCAAUAGGGCUUAAGAAGUUAUGGGAUGUUUCCCUCAAGGGUCAAGCGGCUCUGGUAUGACAUGGAGAGACAAGUCGUUGUAUGUGUGCUGCUGUGCCUGUGGAGAUACGAAACGUGCAUGGAGUAUCAGAUGGUGUGGCUUGCCGUUUUGCCUCUUGAUUAAUUUAUCUAAAAAAAGACGUACAAAGUUGAUAAUAAUUUUGUUUCUUCCAUGAAAUAUUUAUUGGUUUUCGUUUAUUAAACACUUUAGCUGCUAAAAUUUGAUAGAUAAAAAGGUUAAUAAAUGUUGGCCGAUGAUGUUUCAUAAUCACG